rnacentral:rRNA from 1 species
AGAGUGAACGCUGGUGGUAGGCCUAACACAUGCAAGUCGAACGGCAGCACAGUAGGAGCUUGCUCUUACGGGCGGCGAGUGGCGGACGGGUGAGGAAUACAUCGGAAUCUACCUUUUGGUGGGGGAUAACGUAGGGAAACUUACGCUAAUACCGCAUACGCCCUUCGGGGGAAAGCCGGGGACCAGCAAUGGCCUGGCGCUGAUAGAUGAGCCGAUGUCGGAUUAGCUAGUUGGUGAGGUAAUGGCUCACCAAGGCGACGAUCCGUAGCUGGUCUGAGAGGAUGAUCAGCCACACUAGGAACUGAGACCACGGUCCAGACCUCCGUACGGGGAGCAGCAGGUGGGGAAUA